GGCUGGAUGGCCGAGUGGUCUAAGGCGGUAGACUCAAGACUCAAAGUCUUCCUCAGAGAAAUCUGAGGAGCAUUCUACUCUCGCAAGAGGCGCGCGUUCGAAUCGCGCUUCAGUCA